ACAUUCAGUACACAGAUCCGACUUCCUCAAACACUUGGUCUAUUCGCAUGGACCAGAGUAAGAGGAAGUGGGCAGCUUUGAGGCCAGAGAUAGUGGAGUCGUUAUUAACGUCAGAUUAUACAGAGAUCCAGCAGUGCCAGCACUGCAGACUAAAGCGAUCUAUUAUCCGCUGUAAGGACUGCAUUCCUAAACAGCUGUACUGUGCAGACUGUGAUCUACUGGCCCAUGAAAGGAAACUUCACAACCGAGAGACAAAUGUGAAAGGAUUCUUUCAACCCCUAUCCCCAACAACUUUGGUCAAGGUGGAUAUUGAAGGCCAAUUCCAAUUUGAAGAAAAAAAUUGCCUUUUGAAUCUUGAGGCUCUUGAGCAAAUGUGCCACCGAUUCCAUUGAGAUGUCAGAAGGUAAAAGGCCCAUUCUCAUAGGAAUCGAUGGUCGCUACAAUGUCAGCUUGCCACACUUCAAAUGUCCGAAAUGUCUUGUGAGCAGAAAUACCAGCGUCCCGCAACUGAUCAAAUCUGGUUACUGGCCUGCCACAGCAAGCUGUGAAACAUUAUAUAAAAUAGGUAUAUUUGUUUUUCUAUGACCACAUGAAACUGACUGCCCCUGGAAUGUCUAGACAGACCUUCACCAGUUUACUAGAACAGAGUUUUUUGGCAGAAAUGGAAAGAUAUGCGCAGAUGCUUUGCAACUAAGUUUUUUCGAAUGGAGAUACUGCCAGUUCGAAAUUGAUCAGGGAUGAAGAUCAUGGCUUGUUUAAGGGUGUCUUUGUCUGUGAGGAUGACGAUGUUUCCAAGUUUGUGGACUACAUUAAUGAGAAGACAAAUCAUGAUGAUGCAAUCCCAAC